UCCUUAAAUUCCAUGAAAUCAUGGCAUGAUUUCAGCUACAGCUUAUAUAAUUAUAGGUCCAUCCUUCUAGGCUAACGUGUUGUUUAUGAUGCUCUUCAUAAUGUCAAAGAAUUUCCACAAUCACUAAUUGUCUGUUAAUCUCUAUCUUCUGUUUCCCCUACCAUUUACAUUAAAGUACCUUGAAUGUUCAUAACAUUUCCAACAUCAGGCACGAUUCUCAUCUAUUUCUUUGGGCCAGGUGCAGCACAAUCACCCAUAAACCCUUUGCUAGUCAAUAGAAAGGUACACUUUCUGCCAGAAUUUAAAAGUAAUUAAAGAAAGAGAAGUCACAGGAAUGUAAAUUACAUAUCUUAUGGAACAAUUCUGAUAGACCUAUGGAGAUUUCACUGGCUGAAAGCAGUUGCAGUAGGGAGCACAAACCCUCAUUGGCCAAGAGUGAACAAUUGAACCUGCUCUGUUGAUCUCCUUGGCUGAGAGUGUAGAGCAGUACAGAGUUUGGGGGAAAUAUAUCAUGAGUAUGAUUUUGUAUGCAGAAAUAUGCAAUCUUUAAGUCUCCUGAUAUAUUGUGCUGUGUAGUUUUUCAGGAUGUUGGCCAAUUUAUGCUUCCAUAAGCAGUUAUUCACUCAUUUCUUUAUUCAUGAACCCAACAAAUAUUAGUUUGUUGUCUGAUGUGCCUGCUACUCUGCCUAGAGCUGGAGUUACCAUGGUAAGCAAUCCAGACAUGGUAUCUGCCCUCAUAGGGUAUAUACGUAUUAAUCAAAUGGAUGUGUAAUUUUUAAAAACUGUGAUAAAUGCUAUGAAGGAAA
rnacentral:lncRNA from 10 species